rnacentral:rRNA from 1 species
AUUGAACGCUGGCGGCAUGCCUUACACAUGCAAGUCGAGCGGCAGCGCGGGGGCAACCCUGGCGGCGAGCGGCGAACGGGUGAGUAAUACAUCGGAACGUGUCCAGUAGUGGGGGAUAACCAGUCGAAAGACUGGCUAAUACCGCAUACGAUCUACGGAUGAAAGCGGGGGACUCUUGGGCAACUGAGGGCCUCGCGCCAUUGGAGCGGCCGAUGUCGGAUUAGCUAGUUGGCGGGGUAAAAGCCCAACAAGGCGACGAUCCGUAGCUGGUCGGAGAGGACGACCAGACACACUGGGACUGGGAAACGGGCCAGACUCCUACGGGAGGCAGCAGUGGGGAAUCUUGCGCAAUGGGCGAAAGCCUGACGCAGCGACGCGGCGUGCGGGAAGAAGGCCUUCGGGUUGUAAACCGCUUUCAGGAGGGACGAAGCCACUCGGGUGAACAGCCCAGAGGGUGACGGUACCUCCAGAAGAAGCCCCGGCUAACUACGUGCCAGCAGCCGCGGUAAAAC